rnacentral:rRNA from 1 species
AUGAGUACCUUUCUGCUUACUAAGAAAGUUUGCAAGAGUCUGACUUCACCCAAGGCCAAAUAUUUUUGGAGCACCUCUCUUGAUAAGAAGUCAUUGCAUUGGGUGUCAUGGAAGGAUUUGGCGACACCCAAGUGCAAGGGGGGUAUGGGAUUCGGAGAUCCCCACUUAUUUAACCUUGCAAUGCUCGGAAAGCACGGAUGGCGGUUUUUGACAAACCCGAAUUCCCUAUGCGCAAGAGUAUUGAAAGGAAGGUAUUUCCCCGAUACUGAGUUUAUGCAGGCCUCGGCACCCAAGUUGGCUUCUGCCACUUGGAAGGCAAUUAUAGCGGGGAGGGAAGCACUAAGAACCGGGUUGAUCACCCGUGUUGGAGAUGGCAGUUCUAGCUCGAUCUGGACUGAUAAAUGGAUUCCA